rnacentral:rRNA from 1 species
UGCUGUUAGCCCACUUUUAGGAGGGGCUGUAUUUAUUAAAUAACAAACCAAUAUUCUUCGGGUCUAUGGGGGUGAAUCAUAGUAACUGAUCGGAUCGCAGGGGCUUGCCCGCGACAAACCAUUCAAGUUUCUGCCCCAUCAGCUUUCGAUGGUAGUGUAUUGGACUACCAUGGCUUUCACGGGUAACGGAGGAUUAGGGUUCGAUUCCGGAGAGGGAGCCUGAGAAACGGCUACCACUUCUAAGGAAGGCAGCAGGCGCGUAAAUUACCCAAUGCUAAUUCAGCGAGGUAGUGACAAGAAAUACGGGGCCGGG